rnacentral:rRNA from 1 species
AACGAACGCUGGCGGCAUGCCUAACACAUGCAAGUCGAACGAGACCUUCGGGUCUCUGGGCGCACGGGUGCGUAACGCGUGGGAACCUGCCCUUAGGUUCGGAAUAACUCCCCGAAAGGGGUGCUAAUACCGGAUAAUUUCUUCGGACCAAAGAUUUAUCGCCUUUGGAUGGGCCCGCGUUGGAUUAGCUAGUUGGUAGGGUAAAAGCCUACCAAGGCGACGAUCCAUAGCUGGUCUGAGAGGAAGAUCAGCCACACUGGGACUGAGACACGGCCCAGACUCGUACGGGAGGCAGAAGUGGGGCAUAGUGGACAAUGGGCGGAAGGCUGAGCCAGCAGUGGCGGGUGAGUGAUGAAGGCGUUAGGGUUGUAAAGCACGUUUGACCGGGAUGAUAAUGACGGUACCGGGAGAAGAAGCGCCGGCUAACUACGUG